rnacentral:rRNA from 1 species
GAUGAACGCUAGCGGCAGGCUUAAUACAUGCAAGUCGUGGGGCAGCAUGAGUAGCAAUACUUGAUGGCGGCCGGCAAACGGGUGCGGAACACGUACACAACCUUCCGAUAAGUGGGGAAUAGCCCAGAGAAAUUUGGAUUAAUACCCCGUAACAUAUAGAGUAGGCAUCUUCUUUAUAUUAUUGCUUCGGCGCUUAUUGAUGGGUGUGCGUCUGAUUAGGUAGUUGGCGGGGUAACGGCCCACCAAGCCUACGAUCAGUAGCUGAUGUGAGAGCAUGAUCAGCCACACGGGCACUGAGACACGGGCCCGACUCCUACGGGAGGCAGCAGUAAGGAAUAUUGGACAAUGGGCGAAAGCCUGAUCCAGCCAUGCCGCGUGAAGGAUUAAGGUCCUCUGGAUUGUAAACUUCUUUUAUUUGGGACGAAAAAAGGGAAUUCUUUCCCACUUGACGGUACCAAGUGAAUAAGCACCGGCUAACUCCGUGCCAGCAGCCGCGGUAA